CUUAAUAACUAAAUGAAUGAUAAGCUCAAUUUCCUCAAUUAUAUAAAUACUAAAUCAGUGAUAAUAAUGCACGGAGCAUUUGUAACGCAGAAAAGUCAUUAUAGAUCUUUCACAAAAAAUUGAAGAAGGGAUAAUAACAAUGAAAAGUUUAUGUGCAAUGGAGAAGUCGAAAAGAGUAGACGACAUUGAAUUGAAGCAUCAAAGAGAAAAGGAGGAUUAGAGGAAUGGAAGCAACUUUAUCAUCACCAUUACUUCUUUACCAAAGAGAAGGAGAAUUGAAGAAUAAAAGAAGAGAAAGAGAAAAGAAGAAAAGGAGAGGAAAAAAUGAAGCAAGCCAUCAAUUCGAUCAAUGCCCUUAUAAAAUCCAAAUGAACUAUAAAAAAGCCUCGUUGGAAAUGGACCAACGGGGCUUUUAUGGUAUGGUUGUUGUUACCUAGCUAGUUAACCUAUGCUCGAUUGUGAGAUCUUGAAAGAGGUAACGAUCCUCGAGAGAGGUUAGUACGUAUGGCCAGAUUUGAUGUCUUGUGUGUUGUAAAAGAGGAUUGUUAUGCCUAAGAUUAGAGGAGUACCUAUCUAGAUAGUAGACAUUUACGAUCUUUGUAUGACAAAAUCGAUAUUGUACCUCAAGGGUUGACGAAAGUUGAAUUUUGAAUAGAGGUUGUGAAUUGAAAUCUUCGCCGGCAAUAA